rfam:Felis catus isolate Cinnamon breed Abyssinian chromosome B2, whole genome shotgun sequence.
GCCUGGCUGGCUCAGUCAGUAGAGCAUGGGAUUCUUGAUCUUCGGGUUGUGAGUUCAAGCCCCACAUUAGGCA